ACGUAGCCGGUUCAGUCACUUGACGUUAUAAUCGAACGUCGGAGUCCAAAACCCUAAAAAAGACUGGUGCGAACCAGCUGCAACUUAUUAGUGUUCCUGCCUGCUGCACAAACAGCAGAACAAAUCCAACUCCAGGCUCCCUACUUGACGCAACUCAGAUACCUAAUCCUCUCUUUCUUUCUGAUAAAAAAAAAUAUAAAUCACAGGUCUCCGCAUUUGUUGGCAAGGAUGGCUGGACAAAGGAACAGCUACGGGAAGCGUUCUCAUGACUAUUCUGAUAAUGGAGGAAAUAAAAGGAGGAAUUCUGGUGCUGAUAAGGACACGUUCUCUGUUGGGUCUGAUGAUACCGUGUACCGCUACUUGUGCCCUGCCAAAAAAAUUGGGAGUAUUAUUGGGAGGGGUGGGGAGAUUGUUAAGCAACUAAGGGCAGACACUAGAUCAAAGAUAAGAAUUGGUGAAACAGUUCCAGGAUGCGAAGAACGAGUUGUCACUAUAUACAGUUCCAGCGAGGAAACUAAUGAUUUUGAUGGUUCUGAGGAGCGUGUUUGUCCAGCACAGGAUGCUCUCUUUAAGGUUCAUGAAAAAAUUGUCACUGACGAAACAGCCAGUGAUGAUGACAGGGAAGAAACUGCACAAGUAGUUGUCAAGCUUCUAGUUCCAUCUGACCAAAUUGGAUGCAUAAUUGGGAAGGGGGGACAAAUUGUACAAAGCAUCCGCAGUGAUACCGGGGCACAGAUUCGCAUAUUAAAGGAUGAUCAUUUGCCUGCCUGUGCGUUGAGCUCUGAUGAACUUGUGCAGAUAACUGGCGAAGCCCCUGUGGUAAGGAAGGCUCUUUAUCAGAUUGCAUCUCGCCUUCAUGAUAAUCCAUCCCGAUCUCAGCAUUUGCUUGCAUCAGCUGUUCCAAAUGCAUACCCAUCUGGUGGGUCACUUAUGGGUGCUACUGCUGCUGCUCCAGUAAUGGGAUUAACCCCAUUGGUGGGACCCUAUGGGGGAUACAAGACGGAGAGUGGGGACUGGUCUCGGUCAUUUUACUCUGCUCCAAGAGACGACUCAUCUUCGAAGGAAUUUUCUCUUAGAUUGGUAUGCCCAACUGCAAAUAUUGGUGGUGUGAUUGGCAAGGGUGGUACCAUUAUCAAUCAAAUCAGACAAGAAUCUGGGGCAGGCAUAAAAGUUGACAGUUCAGCUGCUGAGGGAGAUGAUUGUGUAAUAUCAAUUUCAGCCAAAGAGUUCUUCGAGGAUACAUUCUCUCCAACAAUUGAUGCAGCAUUACGUUUGCAACCUAGGUGCAGUGAGAAAGUUGAAAGAGAUUCUGGUCUUAUUUCAUACACUACGCGGUUACUUGUGCCAACCUCUCGAAUUGGCUGCCUUAUUGGAAAAGGAGGUUCAAUAAUUACUGACAUGAGGAAAAUCACAAAAGCUAAUAUUCGUGUACUGACCAAGGAUAACCUUCCCAAAGUUGCAGCGGAGGAUGAUGAGAUGGUGCAGAUAUCGGGAGAUCUUGAUACUGCAAAGGAUGCACUUAUACAAGUUACUUCUCGGUUGAGGGCAAAUCUCUUUGAAAGAGAGGGUGCUGUAUCUGCAUUUGUACCUGUUCUACCUUAUGUUCCCAUGUCAACAGAUGGUUCAGAUAGUGUUAGAUAUGAAAACAGAGAUGCGAAAAGGCAUGGCCGUGGACAUUCUUAUUCAGCAGGUUAUGGUAGUUCUAGUGAUAUGCAACCUCUUGAUGGAUAUGGAAAUUAUGCUAGUCUCCAAGGCGGUGCGAGUGGAACAGGUUAUGGAGCCUAUGGUGGAUAUUCUUCGGGACGGUCUGCUGGUUCUGGGUUAUCUGGGCAGAACCCUGUUUCCAGGAGGAAAAGUUUUUACUAAAGUUUCAUAGACCAUGCAGGUGCUCACAUCUCUAGCUAUCAGAAUGCACAUCCUGACCUGUUUGCAAGUUGAAUGCACGGCUUUGAAGGCUUUUUUUGAUAACUGAUUGAAAAGUGGAUUUUCAUGAAGCUGGUGGUCAGAUGAAAUAUUUCCUUGUGAAAAUGACAGGUAACUCUUAUACCUCCUUGUAUAUCUUGCUUUCUUUAAUUGUUUUCAUUGAGUCUUAAAUCUGUAGUUGUGGGAGAAUGAGGUAUUAUUAAAUGUUGAAAGCGAUAAGGUAAUUAGAUAUUCCUAUGGUUUCAUUGGUCGAAGCUCAAAGAAGAUAUGUAAUAUUAAUAAACUCAAUCAGUGUAUAUUUAAGUGAACUGAGAUUAGGAAAGUGUGAAAGUUUACCUGUUAGAACAUUUUUUGAUAAUCACUGCACCUAAAUUUUUAAUGUUUGAAGGUAAAGAUGCCCCAUAAAUUCUUGGCAUUUUGCUUUUAGUUUAGUUUUAUUUGUUUUGUAACUGUGUCCCAUUUUCUUUCCUCACAAUUGGCACCCCUUAAAACUUCCCUUGGAUUGUAUGCAUGAGCAUAGCUUCUCCACUAUACCAGCAACCUCUCAAAGUCUUGUUCUGUAUCACUUAAUCCACAAAGCUGCUUAGAGAAGUGGUAAAAAGGAAAAUAUUGAAGUAAAAAGGAAAGCCAAAUACAAAUGUUUGCAUUUUAAGGGGCUUAAAAAACUCUGGUCAUGUUUUUCACUAUAAUUUUUUUUUGUGGUGUUGUUUGGGGGGGGGGGGGAGUUUUACAGCUUUCUGUGUAUCAAUGGGUUUAGUCAUAUUUGCUCAACUCUGUGAGGGUUACCACGAUAGUAGGGAGUAGAAAAUUUACAAAGACUAACAAGUCACAUCUCUAGUGUUUCUGGAGUAGUACAUAUGCAUCACUGAUCAAGAUCUUAAUUGUGUUUACUAUCAUCUAAAUAAUCUAGUUUGUGGUUUCGCCAUUGUUAUCAUAUUCUUGUUGUGAUACCCACCACCUUGGGGAGUUCCCUGAGGCCAAAAGGAAAACAUGUUCCUUCUCCAACUGCAGAGAUGCUUGAAGCGUCAUAUUGCUUCGAAUGAUCUCCUCCUGGAAAACUCAAAGUGAUAGUCCUUUUAAGAGAGUUUUUUUUUACUUUUUUAUUUUUAUUUUUUUGGGGGGCUUGGGGGUUCCCCUCUUGAGGUAGCUUUUGAUAUGUUAUUGCUGUGGAUUAUAAUUGAGAAGGGGCGGAACUUAUCGACCCUUUUGGAACGCGUUUCUCUUGGUAAUGCUGUUGUAUAGAAGCCUGUAAUCUCUAUUUUGCUAGAUUUUAGAUACUUUCUAUCUUCUUGUUUAAGGCAAGUUGGGAAUUAUGAAAGUAUUCUCUUGUAUAAGAGCCAAUGCAUUGGCUUCUCACGUGAGUAGGGCUGCAUGUUUUAGCGCCAUGGUUGUCUUCACUAGUGCACUUUGAAGUUCUUAGCUUUCUUCUAAUGUGUCCGUCUUCGCAAGUGACAUUCAUUGAAGAACAUUGCAUGCUUGGUGUCAAUGGUAAGUCCCGUAGGUUUGAGGCAAAUGAGGUUGACAAGAAUGAUAGGGCCAUCAUGGAUAUGCUGCCAGUUUUGCAUCUGGUGAUCGGGAAUGGCCAGUUGGAAGAAUUCUUUGAUUGUGUUGCAGUUGUAAAAAGCUCUUUUGCGGUUCUCUCGUUAUAACUAAGGUCCGGUCCUUGUUGAUUUUC